UUCCGGUUGAUCCUGCCAGACCUGACUGCUAUCGGAUUGAUACUAAGCCAUGCGAGUCAUUGUAGCAAUACAAGGCAUACGGCUCAGUAACGCGUAGUCAACCUAACCUAUGGACGGGAAUAACCUCGGGAAACUGAGAAUAAUGCCCGAUAGAACAUUAUGCCUGGAAUGGUUUAUGUUCCAAAUGAUUUAUCGCCGUAGGAUGGGACUGCGGCCUAUCAGUUUGUUGGUGAGGUAAUGGCCCACCAAGACUAUUACAGGUACGGGCUCUGAGAGGAGUAGCCCGGAGAUGGGUACUGAGACACGGACCCAGGCCCUAUGGGGCGCAGCAGGCGAGAAAACUUUGCAAUGUGCGAAAGCACGACAAGGUUAAUCCGAGUGGUUUCUGCUAAAGAAACCUUUUGUCAGUCCUAGAAACACUGAUGAAUAAGGGGUGGGCAAGUUCUGGUGUCA
rnacentral:rRNA from 1 species